rnacentral:lncRNA from 1 species
AUGCAAGCACUUUACGCUUUCUUUAUUGUAUUAAAUAAAUCCUUAAAAGGUGAUGAAGAGGAGACAGCUGAAGUCACUGAAGCAGAGACAGCCACAGAAGAGACUGAUACAGUAACUGCUGCUGGACCUGCAGCACAGGAUGAGAGUUCUGGGGUAUCCUCAGAAACUGGAGGGGAGAGCAGCUUACCAGCUGCAGAUGUACCCGCUGCUGUGGAGGGAGCACAGCAGGAAGCUGCUGCUAAUUCAGAAGCUGCUACAGUGCAAGAAACUGUGGUUGAAGGCUUGGAUGUUGCAGUUUCUUCUGCCCAUGAGGAAAACUUAGACAGUGUCAAAGAAGGAGUAGCCUCAGCAGCUCAAGAGAUGUCUGACGCAGCCGCAAGGGACCAGGACGCUGAUGCUGAGGAGCCUGGGCAAACUUCAGAAGUUUCCAUGGAAGGGACAACAGCUGAGGAUGCUGCAAAGGAAUCCUAAGUGAGCAGCACUGAAGCCUUUGAAAAGUUUAAUGGAAAUAUUUGGGCAAUCAACCAGCUGAUUCCUGUGUGAAACCUUAUACUCUGCCUUGGAGACAUGAAACAAAUUGUGUAGUUUGUCAUACCCCACACUGCUUAUUAGGAUGAGUAUUCAUUACUGAAACAGACAACCUAACACGAUUUAAGUUGGUUAGAGUGACGCUUCUGUAAUUAACCUCUCUGUUUUAGAAAGGAGCAUCCAGUAAUAAAUGUCAAAGCACCAGCUGGCA